UAAAAAUGAAAAAUGCAAUUAAACCCUCCAAAACACCAUGAUUGGCGCGCCAAAAUUUCCAACCCUCAUACUUUCUCCAUUGCCCUCAAUCCCUCUCUCUCUCUCUCUCUCUCUCUCUCUCUCUCCAAUGGCCGAUAUUGACCCUCCAUCCUUCUCUCUCGGCCUGGACCUCGAUGCCGAACCGGAACCUGAAAUACCCACUCGAAUCCAUGAACUGUCCGUUCUCAAUCCAGCUCCAGGUCCGAGUUCCUGUACCGUAUCGGAGGACGAUGAUGAUCGAGUUUUCCAACCCCGAGUCGCAAAUUCCGAAAAAGAUGGUUCUGGGCUUCAGGUUAUGGAUUCGGAUCCCGAAAGUGGGCCAGAUUCGCCCCGGAUAUUCAAGCGGCUGAGACGAGGACCCGCUAUCGAGGAACCAAGAUUGAAGAGGAAAGAAA
rnacentral:misc_RNA from 1 species